rnacentral:rRNA from 1 species
ACGAACGCUGGCGGCGUGGAUUAGGCAUGCAAGUCGAGCGACGGACAGUCUUCGGACUGUUACGGAGCGGCGAACGGGUGAGUAACACGUGAAUAACCUGCCCAUAUGUUCCGGAUAAUUGGUCGAAAGACCUUGUAAUACGGGGGAGGAUCGGUCUUUGGCAUCUUAGACCGAGGGAAGUCGCAAGACGCAUAUGGAGGGGUUCGCGGAUUAUCAGGUAGUUGGUGGGGUAACGGCCUACCAAGCCUACGACGAUUAGCUGGUCUGAGAGGAUGGUCAGCCACAUUGGAACUGAGACACUGUCCAGACUCCUACGGGAGGCUGCAGUCGAGAAUCUUGGUCAAUGCACGAAAGUGUGAACCAGCGACGCCGCGUGAAGGAUGAAGGCCCUCUGGGUCGUAAACUUCUUUUACGGGAGAAGAAAAAAAUGACGGUAUCCCGUGAAUAAGCCACGGCUAACUACGU